UACUAAAUACCGAGGACGUGAAAUUACAGAAACGCCCUUAAACGGGAUUAAGGUGCGUAAAUUUGGUAUUUGUUUUACACUAAGAUCCUAAACUAGGGUUAGAAUUAUAUUAGUAUGUGUUAAUUUAAUUUGUGUUUGGACUUAGGGUGGGGUCCUACCCCCUAAAUCCCUCCCCAAAACCCGUUUUUGUUGUCUCUCUCAUCUCCCUAGUCACUCUCUUUCUCUUUCUUCAUUUCAGAAACACUCAUUCCCUCUCUCUUACUCUCAUUCUCUCUCAAACUCUCGGACAAACACCCAAGACCUUGAAAACUUCACAAGUUAAGGUUGAGGAAGGUAGCAUCGUGUUCGUAAGGACCAUACGAACACAUUGAUAUUAUUUUCAGGCUAAAGCAAGAUCACCACGAGUCUUAGGAAGUCCUAAGGAGGCUCGGAGUGCCUCGUUUGAACAAAAUGGACGUCGGGAUCGUUGGGUUCGAGUUUGGCCGAAUUUGAGGAAUUUUGGAAGGUGGAACUUUUAACGAGGACGAGCACAUCCAGGGGCGUCAAGGGGGUUACGACCCGGCGACAUACCAGUUCUAGUUGAUAGUUGAGGC